GAUGAACGCUGGCGGCGUGCCUAAUACAUGCAAGUCGAGCGAACAGAUAAGGAGCUUGCUCCUUUGACGUUAGCGGCGGACGGGUGAGUAACACGUGGGUAACCUACCUAUAAGACUGGGAUAACUUCGGGAAACCGGAGCUAAUACCGGAUAACAUUUGGAACCGCAUGGUUCUAAAGUGAAAGAUGGUUUUGCUAUCACUUAUAGAUGGACCCGCGCCGUAUUAGCUAGUUGGUAAGGUAACGGCUUACCAAGGCAACGAUACGUAGCCGACCUGAGAGGGUGAGCGGCCACACUGGAACUGAGACACGGUCCAGACUCCUACGGGAGGCAGCAGUAGGGAAUCUGCCGCAAUGGGCGAAAACCAGACGGAGCAACGCCGAGUGAGUGAGGAAGGGUUUCGGGUCGUAAAACUCUGUUAUUAGGGAAGAACACACGUGUAAGUAACUGUGCACGUCUUGACGGUAACUAAUCAGAAAGGCACGGCUAACUACGUU
rnacentral:rRNA from 1 species